CUGCGGACUUAAGAAAAUUGAGCCUUGCUAAAGAAAUUUUGCAAGUGUCAGCUCUCAAAUUCAGGGAAACCUAAGCCUGGUAAGUUUAGAUUUUGCGAUCUAAUGCUGGUAUGGCAAUCCUGAGCCAAGCCCAUUGUUGAAUUAUUUAGCAGUGGGAAGGUGCAGAGACUCGACGGGAGCUACCCUAACGUGGUGUUUUUUCUGGCUUGACUGGAAAUAAACCAGGGCGAGGGUAAAGGGAGAGUCCAAUUCUCAAAGCCGAUCGUGA
rnacentral:ncRNA from 1 species